UACAGAGGAGCCAAGCGUUGUCCGGAUUGACUGGGCGUAAAGCGCACGCAGGCGGACGCGCGCGUGGGGUGUGAAAUCUGGCCGCUUAACGGCCAGGCGCCAUCCCAUACGGCGUGUCUGGAGUGAUGCAGAGGUCGAUGGAAUUGCCGGUGUAGUGGUGAAAUGCGUAGAGAUCGGCAGGAACACCCAGGGGGAAACCAGGUCGACUGGGCAUCUACUGACGCUGAGGUGCGAGAGCGUGGGGAGCGAACCGG
rnacentral:rRNA from 1 species